AACCUGCCCCAUAGUCUGGGAUACCACUUGGAAACAGGUGCUAAUACCGGAUAAGAAAGCGGAUCGCAUGAUCAGCUUUUAAAAGGCGGCGUAAGCUGUCGCUAUGGGAUGGCCCCGCGGUGCAUUAGCUAGUUGGUAAGGUAAAGGCUUACCAAGGCGAUGAUGCAUAGCCGAGUUGAGAGACUGAUCGGCCACAUUGGGACUGAGACACGGCCCAAACUCCUACGGGAGGCAGCAGCC
rnacentral:rRNA from 1 species